rnacentral:rRNA from 1 species
AACGAACGCUGGCGGCAUGCCUAACACAUGCGAGUCGAACGAGACCUUCGGGUCUAGUGGCGCACGGGUGCGUAACGCGUGGGAACCUGCCCUUAGGUUCGGAAUAACUCCCCGAAAGGGGUGCUAAUACCGGAUAAUGUCUUCGGACCAAAGAUUUAUCGCCUUUGGAUGGGCCCGCGUUGGAUUAGCUAGUUGGUAGGGUAAAAGCCUACCAAGGCGACGAUCCAUAGCUGGUCUGAGAGGAUGAUCAGCCACACUGGGACUGAGACACGGCCCAGACUCCUACGGGAGGCAGCAGUGGGGAAUAUUGGACAAUGGGCGAAAGCCUGAUCCAGCAAUGCCGCGUGAGUGAUGAAGGCCUUAGGGUUGUAAAGCUCUUUUACCCGGGAUGAUAAUGACAGUACCGGGAGAAUAAGCUCCGGCUGACUCCGUG